UCUUAUUUUGAUCAAAACGUAAAGUCACAUGUUUGUACACAGUUGUUCCCUCUCCAUCACAUUUACCUCUCCCCAGGGGCAACCACUGCUAUCUACCUCUUUUAGCUGAUGGUUCAGGGUUUACCGUCAUGUCUCUAAGCAAGCCCUUGUUACUUCCUGAAGUUGUUUUGUUUGGUUUCCAUUUUAGGUACUAUUCAUUGACUCCCCUGGGGGAAGACAGAGUUUGCCUUUCCUCCUCACUCCCAGGCUCCCUUCCCAUCCCCAUCCCUCCACCCUCCCACUAGAGUCAUUGGGUUAAGGGAAGUGCUAUCCAAACUGAAGGAGGCCUACUUCCCACCUACUCCAACCCCUCUCCUCCCUCCUAGCACUGCACAGAAUCCAACUGCUCCACCUCUAAGUUCUCUUUGUAUCCCAGACCUCCCCUUCACCCUGCAGCCUGAUGCAGUGACAGGAAAGAGGACUGGAGAGUUGGAGAGCUGGCUUUCAUUCCCACCUCCACUGUGCAUGUUUUCAAUGUCUCAUUCUUCUCAUCUACUAAAUGAGUACAGUAGUUGAGAAUUAAAUCGGUCUGUGGGUAUGAAAAUAGCCUGGCCAGCAGCUAGGUAAAUGUGAGUUCUCCACCCCUCCCCAGAAACUAUGGUCCCCCUUCCCAGCUCUUCCGGAAGUCCAGCCUCUAUCUAAUGAGGCUGAAGUUUGCCCUCUCCCACCCACAACUUGCUCCCACCUAAGGGGGGAUAUGGUUCAGAUAAAAGACUAAAGGAACACAGAGAAGACAAUUCAGGCUGGAGAGAUUAUAAGAAGGCUUCGUGGAGAAAGGGACUUGUGACCCAGGCCUUGAAGGACAGGGAGGACGGAGAUUAAGAAGAAAAGACAUUCCAGGGGGAGGGGACGCAUAGGCAAAGGGCAGGCAAACAUAACCAUAUCCAGUGAAUUACCAGGGGUCCAGUAUGAAACACAGGGAGCAAGAGCAGAGGAGGCUGCAGAGGGCAGCAGGGGUCACCGAGGCCUGUGUGCCACACUGAAGAGUCUGAACUUUGUCUCGGUGUCUGUGGGGGGCCCCAGAGGGAUACCUGAGUUCUCCGGGCUCCAAGUCCAGGCCUGGGCCUGCCCAGCCUGCAGUGGGCCAGCUCUGGCCUAAAUUCAGAGAGCUCUCCCUUCCCCCUAGCCAUUUGGAGGAUGAUAUUAUAAAAAACCCCACAGCUCCCAUAGGCUCUUAAUGGAAGCAUAAACCAGUUUCACCUCUCUAGAUAAAAAAUUUAUCCAAACUCAAAACACACAACGCAACAACAGUUCCACUUUCUACAGAAUUACUUACCAACAAACACAAAAAUAUAUGUGCAAGGAUGUUCACUGAAGCAUUGUUUGAAGAAAACUGGAAAGGACCCAAAAGUCCUGGUUAAAUAAAUGAUGGAGCCACCAUUACAAUAGACACUAUGCAGCUGUGAAAAAAGAAUGAGCUACGUCUGAUUGUGCCUGGCAUAUAGUAGGCACUCAAUAAACACAGGGAGAUCUCCAAGUGCAGAAAGCAAUUGCACAACAAUGGCUAUAGUAUAUCUCCUCUUCUCCUUUUUACAAUGGUGCCUGUUUUUGCAUAUACCCUUAAAAAAUCAGAGGGUAAGCACCAAACUGUUAAGGCCGUUUGCUGGAAAGGGAAGAAGGAGGAGAAUUUCAUCCUCAAACAUUGCCGUGGCUGCCUGAGGCUGGAGGAAGUGCCUAGAUCACUGCAGUUGGCAUGAGGGAACUUUUCGGGGUGAUAAAAAUAUUCUAAUACUAGAUUAUGGUGAAGAUUAUAUAACCAAUUAAAUCUACUAAAAUUCAUAGAACUAUAGGUAUACUUAGUGUGUGAAUCACUAUGAUAUGUAAAUUAUACCUUAAUAUACUAGCCGAAAAAAUUGUAAAAGCAUUGCCGUAGCAUUUGAAACUUUACAAGUGUAUAUCCAAUAUAGUUUUGUUCUUUUAUAAAACACAAAUCCAGAAACAAUCCCUUUUAAAAUAUGCUUAUAGUGAUGCCUGCUCAUUAGACAAUUUGGAAAAUUCAAACAAGUAGGAAGAAAUUUUCUUAGCUGCCCAGCCCCCAGACUGAACCUGGGCCAGCAACUGCCCAGCUGAGGGGCCCCUUCCAGAGCAGUGUGACUCUGACCUGCAUAGUUGGUGAUUAAUAGAGGGGCUGCUGUGGCUUGACCUUGGCCCCAGAGGCCACUGGCCAUCAACCCAGGGACCACGUUAAUGAUCACAAAGGGCCUGCAGCUUUGCCUGCCAUAUAGCUCUGGAGCCCAGGCCCUUGGCACAGGAGAGCUGGUGAACAGACCCCACCCUUGCCCUCUGGGAGCCCUCACUACAGACCCUGGAGCCCUUGCUACAGGGCACUGAUGAGUGGAGACCAUGAUGCGGGCAACAUUGUCUUACUCUGCUUCCAGCCUGGAAGAAGAUGUAUGAGUUCAAGGGAAUGGGGGAAUUCAGGUACAAGAGAAGGACCCCUAGGUGGAAAGGAAGAGGCCCGAGUGCUAGGGCUGGCUCUGACACUGACUUCCUGGUGACCUUGGGCAAGUCACUGUACCUUUCUGGGUUUCAGUGUCUUCAUAUGCAAAAUACAGGGUAGGGCCUGAUGCUCUGACUCGAAGCCUCUUUCCUAGCCCAAGCAGUACCAGAUACUGGUUGUACAACCAAAUCCAGGACCUACAAGUCUCUGAGCUUCAGGGUUCCAUCUGUAAAAUGGGUACAUUCGGCCAGGUCACCUCUGCAGGCCGUUCUGGAUCAGACAGUCCACAGCCCCUGACUUGAGGAAGGAGGCACUGCAGUCACUGAUAGCAGCAUGCCACCUCACCUCUGGGCCCAGCCUGGGAAACUGAGACUCAGGGAGGUUCAAGUCACUCAACUGGAAAGAGGUGUUGCCAAGAUUCAAACACAAGUCUGACUGGCUUCAGAGCCCAGGCUCUGUCUGCGGAGACCAAGCAGGAGCUCCUAGCACCACCUGACCUGGGCAGGGAGCAGCAGUGCCCUUUCCAGGUAACAGGCUAAAUCAAUCAAGCCCAAGUCAAGCCUGGCAGCCAGGAGUCUCCGGAGCAGCUGUCCCCACGACACUUCCCAGGCCAGGGCAGGAGGUGACACCGGGAAAGCCCUCUAGCCUUUCACACACCUGAUGUGACUGCCCAGGCCAAAGGCCUGGAAGAUCCCCAGGCUGUGGCCAUUUAGUGCAGGACUGGCUGUGGCACCUGCCCUCUGAGCCACAUGGCACUCAGGUCUGGCAUGGUUUCUUUGAUUUGGAGGCAGCCCUUCUGCUACCAACUCAGUACAUGAGCAUGUCCUGGUCUCUGCUUCUGUGCACCUCGGAGAUCUCCUUGACCUCUGAUCUCGGCUAUUCCUGGAUCCUGCCCAGCUCCAGGCACACAGUAGGCAGAUUCUCUGUGUCUGCCACAGGAUGGGGGCUGUACAGCCCAUGUCCCCCUGGGGGACCCCUCCCUCCCCUGUAGUUGACCCAGGACCUCCACAACACAACCAGCUCUGGGCCCUCCUUUCCUCUGUAACCUUGGUCUCUGUAUGUCUGCGGGACCCCCUACCAGAGACCAGAGGAGGUGGCCUCCCCCGCCCCUUCCAUCCCCAGCCACAGUGUACAAAAAGGCCUUGGCUGGGCCUGGAAGACACCACCCUGUUCUUUUCUCUUCACUCCAAACACUGUUGUUCUUGAUUUUCCAGGCAGCCAGCCACUCAUGGAAAGCCCUCUCUUGGAGUCUAUUUACUUUUUGGCUCACUGCUGUUCUCUGGGUCCUCCUAGGAGCACCCGCCCUUCUGACCAGGGAUUUUGCUAAUUGGGACAAUGGUCAGUAAACAGAGAAGCCAGUUAUGAAACCCAGUGGAACUGAACAGGGCCUGGAAAAGUUCCGGCAAGCCCUGUGGACAGGUUUGCGAAUCUGGACUCAGCUUCUGCAAUCCAGACCUCAGUUUCCUCAUCUCUAAAAGGGGGAGAAUGGUACCUAGAGCAUGGAGCAGUGAGGAAGCCCAGGAUGUGACGCACAGGAGCUCGCCAAAAAGAGAUAAUGAGCUGCCCAGUGGUGAUGAGGUUGAGGGGACAUAGGUGACAGGAAAAUCGGCCCAUGUCCAAGAACCCUUCAGGCCCUGGGACUCAAGGAUGCUAAAAGACACACAGCAAAAAGCAAACAAGUUUGUGCAUCUGGCCAGGGUCCCCUCCUGCCUGCCUAGGGAUCAGAUUCAUCCUUCACUGGGAUCUACCAGGAAUGCUGGAAGCUUCCCCAGGCCAACCACCUUCCCGAUGGGGACAAUGAAUGAUGCAGCACAUCAGAUGAUGGUGCCACAUCCCUCCUGCUGCUGGCUUCAAACAAAGCCCUUCUGUGUCCCCAAGCCUCCCAUACCAACUAUGGCCAAGAUUUCCUCCUUGCUGGGCUCUGGCAGGAAGUGUGAGCCCAUUGUCUGGAUGUGGAAAAUCGGGGUCAAAGUGCCUUUCUUGAAGGCUAGUUGAGACGAUUAAAUGAGACCAUAAAUGUGAGGGAUCCGUGGACCAUGCCCCGCAAAGGCACUCUGCAGGGAGAACUCCCUGAGAAAGACAAAAGGGGGCAGGUGCGGGGAAGAGGGAAAAGACAAUGGGAUCCAGGAGUGCCUGCGGAGUCUCUGUGGGCUGGAGAUACCAAAAAUGACCAACAGGGUGAGGACAAGUGACCUUCCAACCUAAGGAAUAUGAGGCAAUGUACAGGGAUGAAUCUGGACAGAGCCCAAAUCCCUACCACCAGGGAACUUGAGCCAGUGGCACCUUCUGCGGCACUUCAAUUUCCUCCUCUGUAAAAUGAGGUGAAGAUGCCAACCUGGUGGGGUGUCUGGUAGGACUGAAGGAGCCCUGGCACUGUGUUUGGCACACAGCAGGUGCUCAGUAAGCAUAACAUCCAAAGAUGACCUACAGCAUGUGUCCAGACCCUAUACACACAUACAGCUCACUGGCCCCUAUACCUGCCCUAUACCUACCUCAUACCUAGCCCUCUACCUCUGUGUCUUUGCAUACAAAGCAAGGGAGACAGGGAGGGUUCCAAACAAGGCUGGUACCAGGGAUGGGGAUGCAUCUCAGGAGAGGGCCUCAAGCCAACACCUACAGAGCCAGCCUUGCUACCCAAUCCCCUCCAUGAGACUCCUAAUGACACCCCCUCCCCUCCUCUCUGACUUUGCCUGUUCUGCCUCACC
rnacentral:lncRNA from 1 species